AUCGCUUCUCGGCCUUUGGCUAAGAUCAAGUGUAGUAUCUGUUCUUAUCAGUUUAAUAUCUGAUACGUCCCCCAUCGGGGGACUAUACAUAUUAAAUGGAUUUUUCGAACAGGGAGUCGGAAGCGGGGCUUGCUCCGUCCGCUCCACGCAUCGACUCGGUAUUGCAGUACCUCCGAGAACGGUGCACCCUCU
rnacentral:snRNA from 1 species